AAACCCUCAAGCCACUGUUGCUUAGUGUUGGAGCUUCUAUAGCGCAAGUUAUAGGCUCUCAAAGACUCUGGCGGUACCUCUUUAGGCCCGGACGUAGUAAAUACUUUUCGUUCAGGGAGCUUCAGGGGCUACUCUAGCCAUAACCUUCUAUUUCUUAA
rnacentral:misc_RNA from 1 species